rnacentral:rRNA from 1 species
CCUACGGGUGGCAGCAGUGAGGAAUAUUGGUCAAUGGACGUAAGUCUGAACCAGCCAAGCCGCGUGCAGGAUGACGGCUCUAUGAGUUGUAAACCGCUUUUGUACGGGGGUAAAGGGAGGGACGUGUACCAGUCUGAAUGUACCGUAUGAAUAAGGAUCGGCUAACUCCGUGCCAGCAGCCGCGGUAAUACGGAGGAUUCAAGCGUUAUCCGGAUUUAUUGGGUUUAAAGGGUGCGUAGGCGGCCUUUUAAGUCAGCGGUGAAAGCCCGAGGCUCAACCUCGGAAUUGCCUUUGAAACUGGUGGGCUAGAGUGUGUUUGAGGCAGGCGGAAUGUGUGGUGUAGCGGUGAAAUGCUUAGAUAUCAUGCAGAACCCCGAUUGCGAAGGCAGCUUGCCAAGCUACUUCUGACGCUGAGGCACGAAAGCGUGGGGAUCAAACAGGAUUAGAUACCCCAGUAGUC